rnacentral:sRNA from 1 species
UUGCCUUUUAUCACUUUCUAUUGAAGCAGUCAGUGAGAGGAAAACAAAUAGUGAGAAGAGGUUAUUUUUCAUCCAAUGACAUGAUAACUUUAUUGUAUAAUCUUUAACAUAUGAUUACAAUGUAACUAAUACGUCAAAGUUAAUAUGCAAUUAACUCUCAUGGACAUCAUAAUUACAGGAGUUCAAUCAUCAGAAGAAAAGCUCAAAGCAGAGAUAACCGACCCUGUUGUUGCAAACGUUGACGCAACAUCAUGAUAAUCUUUCCAUGAGGUUGUCACCUUCAGAGAUGGGUACAGCCACGUUUUAACCGAAUCCACAAACGAGUUUGGAUCUAAGUUCAGAAUGGCUUCCCAAUCAACCUGUAAACCCUGUGGGAUGCUUCCCGUGAACUCCAUGUUCGCAGCAAGUAACAAGCCCAGCAUAACGAUAAAUCCAACUGCAGCAGAUCCCCUAGACAGUGGCAUGAAGUUAUACCAGUAAUAUGUCAUUCUUAAAAUUGCAUCUCGCACGUUUUCAAGCAUGUCGAAAUCAGUAGACCCGUAAUUUUCACCACAGUAAGCUUUGCAGAUAGUCU